rnacentral:rRNA from 1 species
CCUACGGGAGGCAGCAGUAGGGAAUAUUGCUCAAUGGGGGAAACCCUGAAGCAGCAACGCCGCGUGGAGGAUGAAGGUUUUCGGAUUGUAAAACUCUUUUGGUAGAGAAGAAAAUGACGGUACCUAACGAAUAAGCACCGGCUAACUCCGUGCCAGCAGCCGCGGUAAUACGCAGGGUGCAAGCGUUACUCGGAAUAACUGGGCGUAAAGAGCGCGUAGGCGGGAUAGCAAGUCAGAUGUGAAAUCCUAUGGCUUAACCAUAGAACUGCAUUUGAAACUGUUGUUCUAGAGUGUGGGGGAGGUAGGUGGAAUUCUUGGUGUAGGGGUGAAAUCCGUAGAGAUCAAGAAGAAUACUCAUUGCGAAGGCGGCCUGCUAGAACAUAACUGACGCUGAUGCGCGAAAGCGUGGGGAGCAAACAGGAUUAGAUACCCUAGUAGUC